rnacentral:rRNA from 1 species
AGCGAAUGGAUUAAGAGCUUGCUCUGAUGAAGUUAGCGGCGGACGGGUGAGUAACACGUGGGUAACCUGCCCAUAAGACUGGGAUAACUCCGGGAAACCGGGGCUAAUACCGGAUAACAUUUUGAACCGCAUGGUUCGAAAUUGAAAGGCGGCUUCGGCUGUCACUUAUGGAUGGACCCGCGUCGCAUUAGCUAGUUGGUGAGGUAACGGCUCACCAAGGCAACGAUGCGUAGCCGACCU